rnacentral:rRNA from 1 species
GACGAACGCUGGCGGCGUGCCUAACACAUGCAAGUCGAACGGAAAGUCCCUGCUUUUGUGCGGUGCUCUAGUUGCGAACUGGUGAGUUACACUUGAGUUACCUGUCCUUGCCUUUGGGAUAACUUCAUGAAACUUGGUCUCUUCCCGCAUAGGAUCUCUUGCUUCUUGGUGGGGGUUGGAUAGUUUCGGCGGUUGGUGAUGGACUCGCGGCGUAUCAGCUUGUUGGUGGGGUAGUGGCUUACCAAGGCUAUGACGGGUAGCCGGCCUGGGCGGGUAACCGGCCACAUUAGGACUGAGAUACGGCACAGACUGGAAUGGGAGGCAGCGGUGGAGAGUAGUACACAAUGGGCGGAAGGAUGAUGCAACAAAGCCGCGUGCGGGAAGAGGGGCUUCGGGUUGUGAACCGAUGUCGCCUGAGGCGAGGCGAGAGUGACGGUAAUGGGUAAAGAAGCACCGGCUAACUACGUG